rnacentral:misc_RNA from 1 species
AUCAAAAACAGCACCGCAAUUCAUCUGCACAACUCGUAGCUUUGCGAGACUCCAAAAACAAGGUGAUAGUAUCAUGCAUAACCGAUCCCCGUUAUCCACAAUCAGAGUUUCUAGAUUGCAGAGAUUUGAAAAUGACGGAGGGAGAACUUUUGCCUUCAUCCGAAUUUUUAAGUGCUUCAAAUGAACGAGCAUACCGAUUUCAUUCAGCAAAGAAUCUGGCAAUGUUAUGCCGCACAAAUCCAAACUUUUGAGAAGCCUCAAGUGUUUUAGGCUACUUUUUCUGUGAAGAGUUACAUCAUCGACCUUCAGAGAGAGGAGGUGUUUAACAUAAGGAUUCUUCAUUUCUGGAUCAAAUGGAGCAAAACAUUCAUCGAAAUCAAAGAGAUCUGUAUCACCACGAAUGAUAAUUCCACGUGGCAUAAGA